UAAAACUAGGUCCCUGGUUCACUGGUGGGAAAACAGGUUCUAGUUAGAUGCUCUGAGGGCCUCGCAUACCUGGGGCACUCGAAGUUCAUGGUCUUAACCAACUGCAGUGGCCGAGAACAGGUUUUGCAAUGUUCCGUUUUGCUGUCUCCCAGAGACCCUUGGAUAUCAGGAGCUCAGACUGCCUAAGAAAUGCGUGUUGUUCCCUACCAGUUUGGCUCAGUGUAUAGAGCGUCGGCCUGCGAACUGAAAG